GGGACGUUUACACAGUCUCUUGAAUAGCUGAGUUCCAGGGGGCCACGGCAGCAAAUGCAACAAUUCAUGUGCAACCAAUCCUGAAAUGUUCCUUGCAGGAGGUCUGGGGAAAAAAUGUGAGCAGCUGUGCCGAGCUUUUGCCAACACACCUACUGCACCACGAUGGAUUAUAGGCGCAAACCGCGAGCCAGAACAGACCAGAACAAACCUGUCCUCCUGUAAGGUGCCAUUACAGGGUGUUCGUCACAGCGGUCAACCCCCUCUUCAAGUGUCUGUCAGCUUCGGUGACUAGCCUACGUGGCUGUCAUCUGGACCAAAAGCACCAUUACACACAGUUCAAAACAAAAACAAAAGCAAACCCGAGC